ensembl:snoRNA
CUUCCAUUCUUGGCAUGCAAUCUUUCUCCCUGUACCUGUGUAUGUAUGUUAUGGCGGGAUAACAAGGCCAGUGCUAUGUCUUCGGUGCUGGAAUGUUCCUUGUCUUCUGGUUCUGUCCUCAAUUCGCUGGUACAUCC